rnacentral:rRNA from 1 species
GUCCCAGUUCAGAUUGCAGUCUGCAACUCGGCUGCAUGAAGUCGGAAUCGCUAGUAAUCGCGGAUCAGCAUGCCGCGGUGAAUACGUUCCCGGGCCUUGUACACACCGCCCGUCACACCAUGAGAGUCGGGAACACCCGAAGUCCGUAGCCUAACCGCAAGGGGGGCGCGGCCGAAGGUGGGUUCGAUAAUUGGGGUGAAGUCGUAACAAGGUAGC